UAUACCUACUUUCUUCUCAUGUAAUCCACGUUAAGAUUAGUUGAAGUCAGUAGGUUUAACUUCAAACUAGAGGAGAAACUCAAACAAAGAACUGAGUUACGUGUGGUUGAGUUGGGAAGAAGAGAUCUCGAAACUUGAGAUUUGAAACAUUUGGAAGCUUUAUGGAAGGGCAAGACUCUUGAAAGAAAUUGUUCUAGAGGCUCAUACAUGAUCUCACCUCUAGAGUUUGAUAGCAGAUCUUGAUCCAAGGGUGAACACUCCGUCUCCCGGCUUCCAUGGGUCAUCUUAUUUGUUCUUGUCCAUCUUUCGGGCAAUGAAACAUUCUUUAUUUACUUUAUUUUGGGAUAUCUCUUUAGACAUGAUCUUUAUUAGUAGUUCUUAUAUGAUGACUUUUGGGUCUUGAGAAUUUCAGUUAGUAGAUUGUUUGGUUUUCGCGCUACUGAUGAUUAAUCUCAGAUUAUUAUUGUUAA